rnacentral:miRNA from 1 species
GAAUUCAGUGUGAAGUGAACGCCC